UACGUAGGUGGCAAGCGUUGUCCGGAUUUACUGGGCGUAAAGAGCGCGCAGGCGGUCGUUCAAGUCGCGUGUGAAAGCCCCCGGCUCAACUGGGGAGGGUCACGCGAUACUGAUCGACUGGAAGGCAGGAGAGGGUAGUGGAAUUCCCGGUGUAGUGGUGAAAUGCGUAGAUAUCGAGAGGAACACCUGCGGCGAAGGCGGGUUGCUGGGCCGACACUGACGCUGAUGCGCGAAAGCCAGGGGAGCGAACGGG
rnacentral:rRNA from 1 species